rnacentral:lncRNA from 1 species
GAUAGCAGGUCAUAAAUAAAUCAUCAAACCUCAAGAUCAGUCAUAUGAUAGAUUUGAUUAGCUUAAGUCCAAAUGUGAUGUCAAUAAAAAUUCUUUUCCAUCAAUCACUCUACUGUGAUCACAGAUUCAUAGACUUAGCUUCUCAAAUCCCAUAGGACUACUCUCUAUCAAGAUUGAUAGAUCCUAUCUUGAUGCGCAUCCUACUCC